rnacentral:rRNA from 1 species
GAUGAACGCUGGCGGCGUGCCUAAUACAUGCAAGUCGAGCGAACAGAUGAGGAGCUUGCUCCUCUGACGUUAGCGGCGGACGGGUGAGUAACACGUGGAUAACCUACCUAUAAGACUGGGAUAACUUCGGGAAACCGGAGCUAAUACCGGAUAAUAUAUUGAACCGCAUGGUUCAAUAGUGAAAGACGGUUUUGCUGUCACUUAUAGAUGGAUCCGCGCCGCAUUAGCUAGUUGGUAAGGUAACGGCUUACCAAGGCAACGAUGCGUAGCCGACCUGAGAGGGUGUGGGCACAAAGGGACACUGACACAGGGCCAAGACCCAUCGGGGAGGAGCCGGUAGGGAUUCUUGCGAAAGGGGCGAAGGCCGGACGGGACCACGCGGGGGGAGUAAGAAAGUUCUCGGGAGGUAAAACCUUUUUUAUGGGGAAAAAAAAAAUUGGAAAUAAACUAGGCACGUCUGGAGGGACCCAAACAAGAAACCCCCGGCUAACUCCGGG